CUCUAGCAUGAAGUCAGACAAGUGAACCCGCUGAAUUUAA
rnacentral:rRNA from 1 species